AGCGAACGCUGGCGGCAGGCUUAACACAUGCAAGUCGAACGCCCGAAGCAAUACGGGAGUGGCAGACGGGUGAGUAACGCGUGGGAACAUGCCCUUUGGUUCGGAAUAACUCAGGGAAACUUGAGCUAAUACCGGAUAAGCCAGAGAGGGGAAAGAUUUAUCGCCGAAGGAUUGGCCCGCGUUCGAUUAGCUAGUUGGUGAGGUAAUGGCUCACCAAGGCGACGAUCGGUAGCUGGUCUGAGAGGAUGAUCAGCCACACUGGGACUGAGAUACGGCCCAGACUCCUACGGGAGGCAGCAGUGGGGAAUAUUGGACAAUGGGGGCAACCCUGAUCCAGCCAUGCCGCGUGAGUGAUGAAGGCCCUAGGGUUGUAAAGCUCUUUCGGCGGGGACGAUAAUGACGGUACCCGCAGAAGAAGCCCCGGCUAACUUCGUGCCAGCCGCCGCGGUAAGAC
rnacentral:rRNA from 1 species